UGCGGGGGGUGCGGCGGAGUCUCCACCGGAGGGGUUCCGGCGCGCCGCAAGGGGCUCCUUCUCUGCCAUCCUGGACCUCAUCACUGCCACCGCCAACGUUGAUAUCCAUCAAGAUCACUCCGAUGAGUCGACUACGCCACGCACUGACAAGUCCGGCGGUCAUUCACCCGCUCCUGGCGAAGGUACGGAAGGCGAUGAAAGGUGAUGGUCGGCCACAACUCUUCUCGAUCGUCUUGCGCAACGCGGCUUCGCUGCAGACACUCGUCUGGCUCUACCACCGACUGGUUGCGCCCGCUACAGAGAGUUAUGUUACCGUGCGGCACAAGCUCACUUACCUGAAGAGGUGCCACCGCGGCCCUGUGACUGUAUUAACUGCACCUCGCGCCGCAACUCCUGCGAGCCCUGAUACCAGUUCAAUGUGCCACCCACACGACCAACUCCCUCAAUAUUACCACUACCAUUUGAAUAGAUAUUAUUAUGCAA